rnacentral:rRNA from 1 species
UACGGAGGGAGCUAGCGUUGUUCGGAAUUACUGGGCGUAAAGCGCACGUAGGCGGCUUUGUAAGUUAGAGGUGAAAGCCUGGAGCUCAACUCCAGAAUAGCCUUUAAGACUGCAUCGCUUGAAUCCAGGAGAGGUGAGUGGAAUUCCGAGUGUAGAGGUGAAAUUCGUAGAUAUUCGGAAGAACACCAGUGGCGAAGGCGGCUCACUGGACUGGUAUUGACGCUGAGGCGCGAAAGCGUGGGGAGCAAACAGG